GGGGAUUUAGCUCAGUGGUAGAGCACUUGCCUAGCAACCGCAAGGCCCUGGGUUCGGUCCCCAGCUCCG
rfam:Rattus norvegicus chromosome 2, whole genome shotgun sequence.